rnacentral:lncRNA from 1 species
UCUCCUUACUUUUGAUAAUUCCUUAUCCUUUAGGUUUUGGCAUAAAAGUUAUUUCUACCAGUAAAAAUUCCAUCAUUCUUUAAGUUAGUGGCCCAUUCAAGUGUCCCACCACCAUAUCAACUAAUGUGCCAAAUUGCAAUUGCCUGUUUAUUGGCUGCAUAACCCUUGAUUCUGUAAGCUCUGUUAAAGCAAGGAUUAUUUUUAUAGUUUACAGUUGUGUCACUAGUACCUAACUCAUAGUAGGCACUUAACAAAUGUUGAUACUUGGCAUAUUCCGUAUCGUUAUUUCAAAAUAGUGGAUCAAAUGGUAGUCUACACUGCAGAUUAUGUGUGAUGUUUCUUUGUUGGUUUUCUGUCUGAAAAAUUUAUCCAAUGCUGAAAGUUGGGGGUGUCGAAGUCUCUAGCUAUUAUUGUGUUGGAACCUAUCUCUCUCCUUUAACUCUAAUAAUAUUUGCCCUAUAUACUCGACAACCUGUGAGAGCAUGUAUUGGGGCUGAACCCUCCAAAGCCACUGGGGCAGAGCUUCCCAAGGUCUUGAUCCAGAGAUACAAAUAGGAGGUAUACAGGGUAUACCCAGAGAUACAAACAGGAGUCUCUCACCAUAGCCACCAUAGCUGGGAAUGUGCUGGGUUACAUCCCAUUUAUAAGUAAGAACAUGUGGUACUUGGUUUCCUGUUCUGGUGCUAAUUUGCUUAGGAUAAAGGACUACAGCUGCAAAAGACAUUAUUUCGUUUAUUGCUCACUUAUAUGUCUUCUUUUGAGAGGUAAAGUCUUUUCACAUACUUGAUCCAUUUUUAAUGGGAUUACUUUUUUUUCUUGUUGAUUUGUUUAAGAUCUUUAUUGAUUUUGGAUAUGAGACCUUUGUCAGAUGUAUAGUUUGUGAACAUUUUCUCCCAUUCUGUAAGUUAUCUGUUUACUCUGUUGAUAGUUUCUUUUGUUAGGCAGAAACUUUUUAGUUUAAUUAGGUCCCACAUAUCAGUUUUUAUUUUUGUUGCAAUCGCUUUUGAGGAAUUGGUCAUAAAUUCUUUCCCAAGUCCAAUGUCUAGAAUGGUGUUUGCUAGGUUUCUUUUAGGAUUCAUAUAGUUUGACGUCUUUCAUUUAAAUCUUUAACCCAUCUUGAGUUAAUUUUUAAAUCUUUAACCCAUCUUGAGUUAAUUUUUAUGUACAGUAAAAGGCAGAGACCAGUUUCAUUCUUCUGCAUACAGCUGUCCAGUUAUCCCAACAGCACUUAUUAAAUACUGAGUCCUUUUCUCUUUGUUUUUUGUUGACUUUCUUGAAGAUCACAUGGCUGGAGAUGUGCGGCUUUAUUUCUAGGUUCUCUGUCUUGCUCCACUGGUCUAUGUGCCUACUUUUUCUUUUCUUCUUCUUCUUUUUUUUUUUUUUUUUACUUUUUUACCCAUAACUUGCUGUUUUGAUUACUGUAGGCUUAUAGUAUAGUUUGAAGUUGGCACUUAUAUAUGAAUUUCUUUUGGCAGUAAGACCAUUUAAACAGUAUUUAUUCUUCCAAUCCAUGAGCAUAUAAUGUUUGUUAUUUGUUUGUGUCACCUCUGAUUUCUUUCAUCAACAGUUUUUCUCAUAGAGAUCUUCCACCUCCUUGUUGAGAUGUAGUCCUAGGUAUUUCAUUUUACUUGUGGCAAUUGUAAAUUGGAUUAUUUUCUUGAUUUACUCUCAGUCUGUACAUUAUUGAUAUAUAUAUAAAUGAUACUGAUUUUUGUACAUUGAUUUUGUAUCCUGAAACU